UGUUGACAUGCAUGACGCACGAAGUGGAGAGAGAUUAGAGGACAAUGGGUGCGAGUUGAGUUAGUACCAGAAAAUGAGUGAGUACAAGGAACGAGAUAUUCGAGAGAGAAUUGUGACUGUGGCUGUGACUGCAUGUGAGCGAGUGAGAGAAAGUGUAAUCGAUAGACAAACAGGGAAUAUAUACAUACAGUAUAUUGGGAACAUUACGUUAACUGGGACACAAGGGAGAACAUUCUACUAUUCUAUUAAUUGAUUUAUUUUUUACUGUUGGUUUAAAUAUAAUUAUCUAUACUUUUAAAACAUCUGUGAUUAUUGUGACUUGUCGGGAACUACGUUUAAGCGGAGGCGAAUUCUCGACAACAAUUUUUUUUUGCAUUUGUCAUUUAGUAUUAAAUUAAAUUAAAUAUAUACAUAUACCUCUAUACCUGCAGGCUUUAGUACGAGAUUUCUAUUUCAACUAGAGUGCAUACAAAAGUUGAGGUCUUUCUAGAACCGGUGUCAUUCGUCAGCAUGCAAUGUAUCUUCUAUUUUGGAUGCUUAUCGUCUAAAAUUCAGGUUGAUGGUUCUUUUAUGCUGGUUUUACGGUAUAUAAGUUUUGUACAUACUUGGAAAUUAUCUGCCGUAUUUCUGCAUGAGAAAACAGAGUUUCGCGCGGGGUCGAAGAGCGAUCGAUGAGGCUGUAUUUCAGGUUACGAGAUCUGAGCUGUUUUAUAUAUUUUUUCAUUCAGUCAUUUAUUUGUGUAUUUAUUUAUUUGUACGAAUGCGACACACAAGAAACAUAUAAUACGUUAUUAUUUGCAUAUAAUCUCUAAUAACAGAGACUAGAGUCCCAAAGAAUGGAAAUAGUUUCUUUAGCAGGCAACUUUGUAAAGUCUUUAUGGAGCAGAUGAGGGACUAGGCGAAAAUAAAAAAUAAAAAAAUAAAUAAAUAAAAAUUAAAAAAAAUAAUUUAUUUCUAGUAUUUUCUAUUGUAACUAUAAAUUUAUAUUAUUCCAGGGCCGCACAUAUCCCAAAAAAAGGUGGAAAAAUUUUUUCCAGACAAAUAGUAGUAAAAUUACAGUUCAAAAAAAAUUUUCCGGACAAAUACCUGUACAAUAACGGAUAAAACACAUUUUUUCGGACCAAUGCAAGUAAAAUAAAGGUCUAAAAGAUUUUUCUCAUACCAUUGAGUAGCCGUAAGGCGGGGUUCCAAUGUAUUGUAAAACAACAUGACAGUUUCACUUUCUUCAGAAAGCCGGAAACCUUGGUGACGUUUCUGGGAGGAAUUUCAGACCAAAAUCUGGGCAGACCUUUCAAUGUAAAUUGAACAGGCAUGCGACUGCGUAA